AUGCACACACUCAUACAAAUACACACACAGUCACACGCAAGCUCGCACACACACACACACUCUCACACAGACUCACAUACACACGCAUGCACACACACUUGCACACUGACACACACACGUCCCACACGCCGACACAGGGACACAGAGCUGCAGACCCGGGGCCGCGCUCAUGCGCUCACGCGUUUGGCCACACACGCUCAUUCUGCCGUUCACGCCCCCAAUCAGCCAUCUGCCGGGCAGCACUCAGACGCCCACCCCAACGCUCACGCACGCUCGGCCCCACGUGCACGCGUGCACACGCACAAGCUCCUCCUUGGCGCCAGGGCCCCGCCCGCCCGCCCCCUGUCCCCCCUGGGCCUCGCCGCUGUGACCCGCUCAGCAGGCCGGCUCCGUAAGCAGCGGGCGCGUGAUGCCCACGUCAGCCCUGCCUGGGCCGCCGCGGGGCACGUCUGCCCGGCUGGCCCGGCCCCGGGCGCCCGCCCACUUCCUCCCCAGAGGUGGGCGGGUGCCCUGCUGGCAUCAGGCGGUUUCUGGGCCUGCCCGGCACCCAAGGAGGGGAAGACAGCCACCUGUCCCUGCCACAGGAGCUGGGCCGCCCACCCUCACCUGCGGGCCCGCGGCCUGGACGGGCAGCAGGGGGUCUGGGUGAGCACCUGCCCAACCCCGGGCUCUCCAUUGUCCAGGCAGCGUGGGCGGGGCUGCGCCUCUCGGCCUUGUUCUACAAAUGAAGAAACUGAGGCCCAGGGAGGGCGGGGGCCUUGCUCAGGGCCUGGAGCAGAUCAGAGGUCCGGCUGCAGACCCCGACUCCUAACCCCCGGCCUCCCCCGGCUCGCUUGCUUUGCUUCAGGGCUGCUGUCCGUCUGCUUCCGGAGCCAUCACUGUCCCCAGCCCUCCCUGCUCUCAGGACCCCUGGCCACAGCCUCAGGAGCUGGCCCCAUUGAACGGAGGCCUGACCGACACACUCUGGGCAGGCGGCAUGGAGGAGGCAGAGCCAGGUCUGAGCCUGGGUCCGAGGGCUCCUUCUGCAAGGCCGGGAUUCGCCUGGCUCGGGUGCCGGGAGCCUCGCGCAGGCGCAGAGCUAGGGAUGUCGCCGUGACCUUGGCUGUGAACUCCGCUAGCAUGUGUGUGUGUGUGGGGGGGGGGGGUCCUGAAAGCCACAGAGCAGCCAGAGGAGUAACGAGGGGCGAGUUUGGGCACAGCCAGCCUGGUUUUGUACACAGAGGACAGACACACAAACACACCCACCUCGAGGGUUCAGUUGGACUGAAAGCUCCAGCACCCCGCACGGGGCGGCAGCACCACUGA
rnacentral:lncRNA from 1 species